UUUGCAGACACAACAGUAUAUAGAAUAGACUUCUUCUCCAAUCUCCUCUAAGACUAGUAAGGCUAGAGCUAAAACACUGGGUUUUGUGUGUUUAUACCCUACAUAGACAGUGCCAAACAUGUACUGUAAAAUAAUUUUUCUUUUUUUUUUUACUUUUAACAAACAACCAUUGACUGAACAAAACGCAAAUCUCAAGAAAAAGGAAAAAAAAAUAUCAUGUGUUACAUCAGAAAUCUAAAUAAAUCAGAAUUUUUGCAUAUAAAAAUUGUACACAAAUACGAAAAGAUAUACGUUUUCUGUACCUGUUUUACUCUGUGUCCCUUUCUCUUUUUCUUUCUUUUCUCACUCUGCUUGGUGAUAUAACAAUAUAGUGUUUUGGUGGGGUGGGUAAUGUAUAUAUAGUGUAUGUAUAGAUUGUGUUCAUGUAUGUGUAAAUUGUGUGUAU
rnacentral:lncRNA from 1 species